UUUACUCUCGUUUGUCAAACAGAACAACUCCACAAACUGCGGACCAACAAUGCACUUUAUUUCCUUAUUUGGAGGACCUAUUUUCUUAGAAUGUGAGCAUUUCUAUGAUGCACCAAGUGGCUAAGGGUACCAGGCUUGGUGUUAAAAAAACCUGAACAGACUAGAACCUGAUGAUGACCCCACUGAUUGGGAAAUCUCUGUCCAUCACCUGCCCUGAAGAUCACAAAGCCUCAAGAAGGGAACGAAGAUUCUUCCGGCGGCUGACUA